rnacentral:rRNA from 1 species
AUGGCGGCGGCGAAGGCCACCCUCGUCUGCUUCAUGGUCAUGGCUCUCGCGACGGCGCUGCUGGCAGUGCCGGGCGCGGUGGAGGCGGCGACGUGCAGCCCGACGCAGCUGACCCCGUGCGCGCCGGCCAUCAUCGGGAACGCGGCGCCGAGCGCGGCGUGCUGCGGGAAGCUCAAGGCGCACCCGGCGAGCUGCCUGUGCAAGUACAAGAAGGACCCCAACCUGCAGCGCUACGUCAACUCCCCCAGCGGCAAGAAGGUCUUCACCGCGUGCAAGCUGCGCCUGCCAAGCUGCUGA